rnacentral:rRNA from 1 species
ACGAACACUGGCGGCGCGCCUAACACAUGCAAGUCGAACGAGCGAGAGAGAGCUUGCUUUCUUGAGCGAGUGGCGAACGGGUGAGUAACGCGUGAGGAACCUGCCUCAAAGAGGGGGACAACAGUUGGAAACGACUGCUAAUACCGCAUAAGCCCACGGUGCCGCAUGGCACAGAGGGAAAAGGAGCAAUCCGCUUUGAGAUGGCCUCGCGUCCGAUUAGCUAGUUGGUGAGGUAACGGCCCACCAAGGCGACGAUCGGUAGCCGGACUGAGAGGUUGAACGGCCACAUUGGGACUGAGACACGGCCCAGACUCCUACGGGAGGCAGCAGUGGGGAAUAUUGCACAAUGGGGGAAACCCUGAUGCAGCGACGCCGCGUGGAGGAAGAAGGUCUUCGGAUUGUAAACUCCUGUUGUUGGGGAAGAUAAUGACGGUACCCAACAAGGAAGUGACGGCUAACUACGUG